GACGAACGCUGGCGGCGUGCCUAAUACAUGCAAGUCGUGCGGACCUUGUUGAAAGCUUGCUUUUAAAAGGUUAGCGGCGGACGGGUGAGUAACACGUGGGCAACCUGCCUGUAAGACUGGGAUAACGCCGGGAAACCGGGGCUAAUACCAGAUCGUUUUUUCCUCCGCAUGGAGGAAAAAGGAAAGGCGGCUUCGGCUGCCACUUACAGAUGGGCCCGCGGCGCAUUAGCUAGUUGGCGGGGUAAUGGCCCACCAAGGCAACGAUGCGUAGCCGACCUGAGAGGGUGAUCGGCCACAUUGGGACUGAGACACGGCCCAAACUCCUACGGGAGGCAGCAGUAGGGAAUCUUCCGCAAUGGACGAAAGUCUGACGGAGCAACGCCGCGUGAGUGAAGAAGGCCUUCGGGUCGUAAAACUCUGUUGCCGGGGAAGAACAAGUGCCGUUCGAACAGGGCGGCGCCUUGACGGUACCCGGCCAGAAAGCCACGGCUAACUACGU
rnacentral:rRNA from 1 species